AUUGAACGCUGGCGGCAGGCCUAACACAUGCAAGUCGAGCGGAUGAAGGGAGCUUGCUCCUGGAUUCAGCGGCGGACGGGUGAGUAAUGCCUAGGAAUCUGCCUGGUAGUGGGUGAUAACGUCCGGAAACGGGCGCUAAUACCGCAUACGUCCUGAGGGAGAAAGUGGGGGAUCUUCGGACCUCACGCUAUCAGAUGAUCCUAGGUCGGAUUAUCUAGUUGGUGGGGUAAAGGCCUACCAAGGCGACGAUCCGUAACUGGUCUGAGAGGAUGAUCAGUCACACUGGAACUGAGACACGGUCCAGACUCCUACGGGAGGCAGCAGUGGGGAAUAUUGGACGCUGGGCGAAAGCCUGAUCCAGCCAUGCCGCGUGUGUGAAGAAGGUCUUCGGAUUGUAAAGCACUUUAAGUUGGGAGGAAGGGCAGUAAGUUAAUACAUUGCUGUUUUGACGUUACCAACAGAAUAAGCACCGGCUAACUUCGUG
rnacentral:rRNA from 1 species